GAUGAACGCUGGCGGCGUGCCUAAUACAUGCAAGUCGAGCGAACGGACGAGAAUCUUGCUUCUCUGAUGUUAGCGGCGGACGGGUGAGUAACACGUGGAUAACCUACCUAUAAGACUGGGAUAACUUCGGGAAACCGGAGCUACUACCGGAUAAUAUUUUGAACCGCAUGGUUCAAAAGUGUAAGACGGUCUUGCUGUCACUUAUAGAUGGAUCCGCGCUGCAUUAGCUAGUUGGUAAGGUAACGGCUUACCAAGGCAACGGUGCAUAGCCGACCUGAGAGUGUGAUUGGCCACACUGGAACUGAGGCACGGUAACGACUUUUACGGGAGGACGCUGUAGAAAAUCUUACGCGAUGCGAGAAAGCCUAAUGGAGCGACGCCGGGUGAGUGAUGAAGGUGGCCGGAUCGUAAAACGCUGUUAUUAUGGAGGAACAUAUAUGUAAUUAACUGUGCGCAUAAUGACGGUACCUGAUCAGAAAGCCACGGCUAACUACGUG
rnacentral:rRNA from 1 species